AAAAAAACAAGCUGGUUUCCAAAAAGAUUGAUAACUUAUUCUCAUUGAUUUGAUAUAGAUUUACUUCUGUUGUUUUCCCAGUAGAGCCUAUUUGUGCUUAAAAUUUUGGGAGGCUAAGCUUUAUCUUUUCCUUCCCAUGUUGUCAACUUUGAGCAGGUUAACUUCCAGCAAAUCUCUUCGCACCUUGGCCAGCAAGAUCUAGAAGGAAAACGAGUUCCCCGAAUGGUUUCUGGGAAGACAUUACCAUGUUUCCAUCCGUGGGACUGGUCCCCUAGGGCUGGGGGAUUUAUUAGUGACAGAUUUCUUAGUGGCCUUCGCCCUCAAGAAUAUUACUUCCAUUGCAUGGCUGGACGAGAAGGGUAACUAACACUUUUAACAACACUGUCAUAUUACUCUAGUACCCUAAUUAUAUGCUAAAUACAUUUAGGAAUAGUUUAUCAAACUUUUUAUCUGAAACUCCAAAUAGUGAAGCAGUCAAGUUUUUUACUGUUGACUUAAAAAGAUGCUAUGCAUGCUAUUGGUCGAGGGGUGCUGUUACAUUUCUAAUUAUGUGUGGUAUUCUGUUGUAAUCCCUAUGGUAAAUCUGUCAAGCUGGUUUGUCAUCUUUAUCCGGUCGUUUUUGAACACUUAAAGCAUUCUGGUCUGCAGGUUAGUUGAUACUGCAGUGAAGACAUCGCGUAGUGGGUAUCUGCAAAGAUGUUUGAUGAAAAAUCUUGAGAGUCUUAAAGUCAACUAUGAUUGUACUGUCCGGGAUGCUGAUGGAUCCAUCAUUCAGUUCCAAUAUGGUGAAGAUGGUGUGGAUGUUCAUCGGUCUAGCUUCAUUGGAAAGUUCAAAGAACUGACAGUGGUAAGCAUUCCCUUUUGAACCGUUUGCCCUUUUUUUUAUUUGCUCUUGGGACUUAUGUCUUUUACUUUGGUCCAGAAUCAAGAUAUGGUCCUCCAAAGAUGCAGUGAAGACAUGCUAUCUGGAUCCAGUAGUUACAUCAGUGAUCUGCCUAUUAGUCUUAAGAAGGAUGCGGAGAAGUUUGUUGAGGCAAUGCCUAUGAAUGAACGUAUUGCUUCUAAAUUUGUGAGACAAGAAGAACUACUGAAGCUGGUGAAGUCAAAAUAUUUUGAAAGUCUUGCUCAGCCAGGGGAGCCUGUAGGUGUACUUGCUGCCCAGUCUGUAGGAGAGCCAUCAACGCAGAUGACGUGAGUUGUUUUCCUUUCUUCUGUUUGGGUCUUGCUAAUCUUUUAACCCUGAACUGAGUUACAUUGGUACUAAAAUUUCUAUAUCGUCCAUUGAAUUACAUUGGUAGUUAUAUUUCUAAAUCUUACAGUGGUACUUAAAUUACAUUGACAUGCAGGUUUGCAUAUUUCAUGAAAGAUUUGCUUAUGAAAUCCGUUGUUUUGUCAAUUUACAGGUUGAAUACUUUCCAUCUUGCUGGACGAGGAGAGAUGAAUGUGACACUUGGAAUUCCACGUUUGCAAGAGAUUUUGAUGACUGCUGCAGCAGACAUUAAGACACCAAUAAUGACUUGCCCUUUGCUGAAGGGCAAAACAAAGUAAGUUGCUUUUGUUACGUUGUCUUUAACUAUAUGCCCGACUUAUAUUAACAUUAUUAGAAAAUGAUUAUAACUUUUAUGAUCUGUCCUUUGUGCAGAGAGGAUGCAAAUGAUAUUACUGAUAAGUUGAGGAAGAUUACGGUGGCAGAUAUAAUAAAGGAUAUGGAACUUUCAGUUGUACCAUAUACGAUUCAUAAAAAUGACAUUUGUAGUAUUCACAAGCUUAAGAUAAAUCUCUACAAGCCAGAGCAUUAUCCGAAGAACACUGAUAUAACUGAAGAAGAUUGGGAAGAGACGAUGAAGGUUGUGUUUUUGAGGAAGUUGGAGGACGCAAUAGAGAUUCACAUGAAAAUGCUCCAUAGGAUGAGGGGCAUAAGAAAUUUUGUGCAAGACACUAGUCCAACAGCUGGAAAUGAAACUGAUAAUGAUAAUUCUAUAAGUGGAAAGCAGACUGAAGAUGAUGAUGAUGGUGAGGGUACAGAGGUUGAUGAUCUUGGUUCAGAUGCACAGAAGCGGAAGAAACAGGCAACAGAUGAGAUGGAUUAUGAGGAAAAUUCUGAAGAUGAGACGAAUGAACCAUCGUCAAUUAGUGGAGUAGAAGACCCUGAGAUAGACAAUGAGAAUGAGGACGUAGAAGUUAGCAAGGAAGGUACUCCGGAACAGCAAAAAGAGGUGAAAAAGGUAAAGAAUGUCAAACAACAGAGUAAAAAAAAGAGACGGAAAUAUGUUGGCGCUGACGAAGACAGACAUAUCUUCGUGAAAGGUGAAGGAGAGAAAUUUGAGGUUCAUUUCAAGUUUCCUACAAGCGAGCCUCAUAUUUUACUUGCCCAGGUAUCCUUUUUUGUAAAGCUAUGUCUCUUAUGACUUUUGAUGCGUGCAGCUAUGUCCCUCAUCUAGAAAGUAGUUUAAACCUUUUUUCUUUCUUACAGAUUGCUCAGAAAACCGCGCAGAAGGUUUACAUCCAGAAUUCGGGGAAGAUCGAACGAUGCACAGUUGCGAAUUGUGGUGAUCCUCAAGUGAUUUACCAUGGGGACGAUCCAAAGGAGAGAAGAGAAAUCUCCAACGAUGAAAAGAAAGCCUCACCUGCACUCCACGCAUCAGGAGUUGAUUUCCCUGCGCUAUGGGAGUUCCAAGAUAAACUUGAUGUCAGGUACUUGUACAGCAACAGCAUUCAUGAUAUGCUCAACAUUUUUGGAGUUGAAGCGGCAAGAGAAACUAUAAUCAGAGAAAUAAACCAUGUGUUCAAAUCAUACGGUAUUUCUGUAAGCAUCAGACACUUGAACCUCAUUGCUGACUACAUGACAUUUUCCGGUGGAUACCGACCGAUGAGCCGUAUGGGAGGAAUUGCAGAAUCAACUUCACCAUUCUGCAGAAUGACAUUUGAAACAGCCACUAAAUUCAUUGUCCAAGCAGCUACUUAUGGAGAAAAGGACACACUAGAAACUCCGUCUGCUAGGAUCUGUCUUGGCUUGCCCGCGCUUUCAGGAACCGGAUGCUUUGAUUUGAUGCAGAGAGUGGAGCUCUGAGAUUCAGUACACAUUUUAUUAUGAUCCACAGUGUUGUCAACGAAAUAGCGGGGUUUAUCUUGGUCAUGAACAAGGGGAAAUCAUACUUGUAUGUUUCAUAAGUCUGAUGUCAAAUCACUUUGAGGUUGAUUGGUCUGUCAAAUCCUCAGGUGGAGCCUCUUUCUCAAUUAUCUCUUAACUUUAUAUUUGUAGUUUGAAACUUUUUAUAUUAGAUUUUCUGUUUUCACAUAAGUGGGAUAAAUGAUGAUGAUGUAUCUGCCGACAAAUAGAGAAAACGUAUGGAGCAAGUCUUACUUGGGAUGUUUGUAUGCAUUAACCAACUAAAUUUUGUUAUUUCACCUAAUUUGUGUUUGGUACCUUUAGUUUUCUUGAAUAAUUUGGUGUCGGUUUUGGAUUAUUGCUGGCUUCUGCUCAGAUAGGAAAUAUCUAUUCUCUUAUUAGUUUUCUAAUUGAAAAUUCGUAUGUCGUUUGAGAAUAGAUAUUUCUAAUUGCUGGCUUCUGGUAAGACAUUUCAUAGUCUACGAAAUCUCAGUUGUGUUCGAGAGUAGUCUACAGUGUGAACCAAUUUAAGGUCUUUACAUAGAAGAAAAUGAUUUCCUUGCACACAUUCUGAUUUGACAAUGUAUAUACAGUACAUCAAAUUAUUAAUAUCAAUAAAUUGAAGAGGAUGAUGACACAAAACACAAGAGUGGUGGAGGAGGAAAACGACGACGUCUUGACUCUUGAGAUUGUCCCUCGUGCUGUCUUGAAAACCUCUCCCUCUUGGUCAACCCCUUCCGACACCUCUUUUAUUAGACGUACUCUUCUUCUCCUUUGUUUUUUUUGUUUUUCCUUUUUUUUUUUGUUAUUGUUGUUUUCUCUUAACAAAACACUUCAGUUACUCACUUGAUUCACUGCAAACUCAUUAGAUUAUUACAAUCAUUCUUUGUUUCCACAUAUAAUUAGAAUUACAUAACCUUGAUUAGUUGAUCUCUCUAGCUUUGGAUGUUUCUCAUCACACUCAGAUCGUUGUGUCAUCCAUCGAUGCAAUGUCGCUUGCAUAUAUGUUUCACUAACAUUUGCUCUUUCUUUCCCAAACCCAAGACUAAUAUUUUUAUAUCUUAUGUGUUCCCUUCAUUCUCACUCUCUUGUUUUACUUAUUAGUUAAUUCUUCCUAUAUACAUUUCUAAAUCCGUGUGUUGAUAUCUUCGUUUUGUGGGUCUUGAGUCUUGACAUCACUAGCUCACCCAUACGUUGGUUUAGUAUUAAGCCAAGAUUCAAUAAAUAGUUUGUUUAAAUUGUCUUUCUAAUAUUUAUUAUUUUCUACAUGAUUAACUACCACAUGUAUAUUUAUUUAUAUAUACUCCUUCUAUUCCAUUAUAUAAGAGUUUUUGGCUGAAAUCACAAAGAUUAAAAUACAAUAAAUAUUGUAUCAUUAAACAAAAUUCAACCAAUAAAGAAAAAUAUUGCAAAAUUUAAAUAGUCAAAAUGAUUAAAUCAAUAUAAUAAGUGCAUAGAAUUCUGACAACAUUUUAUAAAAUGAAACAAAAAUAAAGUCUAAAAAAUCUUACAUAUUAGGACAGAGGAAGUAUUUUUAUUUUUUAUUUUUUUGGCUUUGUUACCUUUUUCUCUUUACCAUGCAUAUAUAAUUCUAUCGGGAAGUUGUUUGAAAUCUUUUCCAAUCGAGGAUGGAAUUAGAAAGACUAGACUAUUCACUUCUUUAACAAUGCUGAUGCUUACCAAUAGCCCAACCCUUUCUAUAAUUCAAAAAAAAAAAAUUGGAUUAGUAAACAAAGUUAUUAUAUUAUGGAUUUUCCAUUUACUAUUGAUGAAUUCCAAAGCAUCCUCACUAUUUUGGAUAAUCAUCAUUACAAGAAAUGAAGCAAAGUUCGAAUUCACAUAUAUUUGCACAGUAAGAUGUUAUAUAUUUUUACGUCUUAAAAGAGUGUUAAUUUUCAAUGUGGAAUAUGUUAUGAUCAUACACGUUUAUAUAACCGACAAAGAACAAUUAAAAAGGAACAAAGUGAAAAAAUAUACUGAAUUUCUACUUCAAUCGUUGGAGUAGUUAACCAAGUUUAGAUUUUGUUAUUUAGCAAUUCUUUACUUUUGUAAACGUAUAGAUCAUUGGAGCGAUUCUUUCUUGCUUUCUUGAAUUUCACUAGUUUUUCUCGUAUGUGUACCCACCAAACAAGAAAAGGUGGUCUAAAGAUUUUAUUUUUAUAACUUUAUUUGAAUGCUGCACUCAUUUUUUUCUUCCUAUUUUAUUAAAUAUUCACCUUUUUGCUUUAAUGGAAAAAAUAAAGUUGGAAAUUAUAACAUCGCUGCAAUUUUAUUUUAUUUUUGUAAAUAGAAAUACGAUUAUAUUAAAUUAUAUGAUAGUUUAAAUGAUAAAAUGCGUUCCUAUCUAUCAUAACAAAUGAUGAGAAUAAUAUAUAGAAAUUCUUUUUGCUAAGAAUAUAUAUGAUGAGAAUAAUUACUAGAUUGCCGUGAUCAGUGUUGUGUGUUUUGCAUUGUGUAUAUGUAUAAUAUAUUAGCAUAAUUAUAACAAAAAGAGUAGGUGAUAUACACAUUAGGUGAAGCCUAGAGUUUGUGGUACACUUCCUUUAAGUUUGAAUUGUCCAAAAAAAUUUAGUAGGUUACUAUUUCUCCUCCACAAUGUCCCCACCAACAUAUUAUAUAAUUUUUGUUUUUCGUAUCCAUUAUUAGAGACUGUUUUUUUACUUAAAAAUAUACAAGAAGAGUUGUGCAAAACAUAAAAACGAAUCGAACGAAAUAACAACGAACGACGUGGUUAAUGAAAAGAAUCAGAACAAAGGGGAACAAAUGGUCGUAAAGUCAGAACAAAUGGUCGUAUCAGAACGUGAUCUAAUCUUCGUAUCUUCACGGCAGAUCCAAGAUUAACGUUUCACAACUCAACAAAACAUUUCUUGCUACUGUGUGUAUUGUAUGACCGCAGUACGUUAUUUAUAUAUAAAAAAAUGACUACGUGACACAAGUAUUUAUUGCGGUUCUCUACCAGUUGAACUCAGCAAACAGAAUCACUGUUUAAACCUUUAGUCGUAGUAUCGAUAAAACUGUUUCAAAUAAGAAACAUCACAUGCAAUAUAAAUGUUCUAUAUAGAAAUUAAUGAUGUCAUGACCCGACACAUAGUUUUUGAAAAAUAAUAUCAUAUGUAAACGUCACAUCCAAAAUAAAACCUAAGCACAAAGAGGGACAUAGAACCAUAUGCUAUGGUGAUGGCUUCUCUCUCCUUCUCGAUGCAUUUAUAUAUGACACAGAGAGCUCUCUAUACAACAGCAGAUACAAAAAUAGUCACAAUAUAUAUAUAUAUAUAUAUGUGGCUUGUGAGGGCCCAGCCUCGUCUUGUUGAAGGCCCGAAGUCUCAUUGCGUUGAACUUCUUCUUUCUUCUGCUACUCAAAUAUGAGUUUUACUACCUACUAAGACGGACCGUAUUAUAACUAUAUCAGAUCCAAAGAAUGUUUCUCAAGUUAUAUACUAAGUUAUCCAUGAUUUAUCAUAGGCUAUAAGAUUAGGUAUUUUUCCAUUAUCAUAUCUUCAACUAUUACAUCAUCCAAGUAUUUAUUUCUAAUUCAACCACAGUUGACAAUACUAUCAAGAUAUACAUGUUCAUCUUUAUUAUAUACACAAAUUAUUGGUCAUGCUGCAAUAUGUAGAUCAAGUUAUUGUGAUGUGAAUGUGUUUCGCAUAAUAAACCGGGUUGGUCGGAUUUUAAUAAGAGGUCGAAAUCAAAAUGUAGAUGUUACUGGUGAAAAUAGUACUCGUGUUUAUAACCUACAUAUAUUGCCAAAAAACCAACAUUGCAAAUGCAACAGUGAACAUGAAAUGUUGUUUGUGAACAUGUGGUCCGUUUUGUGCAUAAAUAGUGUCUUGAUGGAUAUAUAAAACCAAAUUAUGUCAUCACAAAAAUAACACUAUCAUUGUGACGAUAAAAUUUUAAGAUUAAGAUCAUCAUGAUGUUUAUUCACAAUAGUCUUCGGAGCUAAUUUGUAUAUAUAUUAUGCCUAAUUAUAAUCAUCACAACUUUAAUUAUAUAGUAAUAAAAUUUUAUAAAUGCCAACACACAUAUGCAUAAAAAUGCGAAUCAUUUGAAUCAAAGUUAAAGUUUGAACUACGAUAUGUGGUAAUGUAGGUCCAUAUAUCUAUUGAGACCGAAUCUAGAACAUAUGUUAGUUACAUCAUCAACUGAACUCUGCAUCAUAUCAUAAUAAACAUGGAUGAUAUAACUCAUAUGACUCGAUGAGCAAAAAGUUUACGGUCUGCAUGAGUCACAAUCAGAGAAAAAUGCAAUAUGCUUUCACAUACAAGUUCUCAAUGAAAAAAAUUUACAAUCAAGUAGUAUUUGUUUGUUUUAAUGGAAGGAAAGCCUAGAAUAUCCCUAGUGAGACCUUCCCUAGAUAGUUAGAAAAAAACAUAUACUGUACAGUGUAUUUUCCUUUUAACGUACUACUAGAUUAGCUCUCUCCAAAAUUUGCAUUUCGUGAGUGUUUUGAUUUUAUUACACACACACCGACUAUCAUAUAAAUAAAUAGUGGUUUCAGCCAAAAGAAAUAAAUGUGUUCCGCAUUUUUAUUCGACCAAUAUUUCAUUCUUCCAUAGUUCAUCGAUAUACAUAGAGUUUGUAGCCAUAAACAAAAAAAAGAAAGAGAAAAGAGAUAGAGGUAUUGGGUAAAGUGGAGGAAGAAAGAAAGAAAAAGGAACAGUGAGGCAGGAUCUGCGGUGGGGAUUUGGACAUUCAAUGAUCUUACCGUUUGAGAGAAAGCCGACCAUUGAUGCGCACACCAAUGCAAUUGCUCUCUCUCUCUCUCUUUUUUUUUUUUCCUUCUUAUAAAUUUCUAGUAUUAAAACUCAUAUAUGUAAGAAAAAAAUGAUAGAAAUUAACACAACCAAAUAACCAAAUGAAUGUUUUAUUUGGUUCAUCAUUCCCUAUUAAUAAUGUAUGUAGAAUAAUAAUAUACAAUCAAAACUCUCUCCAAAUGUUUUUUUCGAAUAUAUUCUAAUGUGUUUUUUCUCAAAUCCUUCGUAUACUUAAUUAACAAUUUUAUUUAUUAUUGAAUUUCUAUUUGUGUUUUUUUUCUUAUCUAUAUUUAGGGAAUUAAAAAAGAAUACUUUUCUCAUCUAUAUUUUCUAUCAUCCAAAACUAAAUCAUAAAUUUAGAAUGAAUACUAUUUGGUAUUGUCCAUACCUUUUCAAAAGCUAUCCAACAUAAUAACAUUUAUGUUUUUAUUAGGAAAAAAAAUCUAUUGAAAGACAGAAUUUUGUGGUAAAUCAUAAAUUUUUUCCUAAAUUUAUUCUAAAUGUUAAUUUAUUUAAUUAGAUUCAGGAAAUACGUCUCGAUUUUAUGCAAUGAAUCUCCCAUCAGUAAUAUAAUUAUGGCAUCUCCUUUGUUUUCUUCCUUUUUUUUUUUUUUUAUAGAAAAAGGUUUUAAGAUAAGAAAAAAUUGUUUGGGAAUUGGGAUGAGAGCCAAUCUCCGAAAAGCAGUUGCAUUAUCUUUGAAUGAUGUAUCUGAGCCUCAUAUAUGCUUUAUGUAUUUUUAUUUUGUUUUGUUUCAUAUACGUUCAUUUUCUUAUAUAUUAAUCCUGUUUCACUCAUAUCGGUUAUAAUUUAUAAAUAAAUAAAUAAAACUCCAAUAAACAUAUCCAUGUCCCAUGUUAUCGCAUAUAGCUUUUCGUUUUGUCAUAUUUGGCUAUAAGAUCACCGUCUUUGGUAUUUCAGCGUAUUAACGUAUGCCCUAAUCCUCAACUCAAUGGCCAUUGAUAUCACAUACUAUCUUUACUUACAUUUUUCUAACCUAGUUUUAUGAUGAAUUGGCAUCGGCCUUAUUCCAUACUUGUAUUUAAGUACAUAUUAAUCCACAGACGUGAAAUAAUACUUUAGUAAUUGUAUGAUUUAAACAUAUGAAUACUUUGCCGCAAAAAAACAUACAUAUUGAUACAACAUAUAUAAAAUAAUGGUAAUACAAGUUCGUCCUCUUAAAUACGAUACGAUACUAGAGCCUGUUCUCAUAGGCCUUAAUUACAUAGUGGUGAUAAUCAUAUCUACAACUUUUCCAUUAAAAAUCAUCGUCAUAUUUAAGCAUAGAUUUUUACUCUCUUUUUCAACCAUAGUCUGACGUUAAUUAAACUAAUUAAGUGAUUCGGACUUAACCAGCUAUGGCAUAUGAAAAACAAUUAUUCACAUAUUAAUUGGUAUUGCAUUCCUUAUUAUCCAGGCAUAAUAGACAAAGAAAUUGAAUAGGAUAAAAAGUUACAAGGAGUAGAAAAAAAAAAGAAAUAAUAUGUUGGUUCUGAUGUGCAGCUUUCAAACGCUGUGUUUAGUGGUGACACAUGUAGUAACUCUCAUCACACGAGUUAUGGAAUAGUAUUGUAAAGUAUGACUGUGAAUUCGUCCCCAAGUGUGAAGUAACUUAUAAUAACAAUAACAUCUUAGGAAAUUAAAUUAUUAAAACGAAUUUUUCCUUUUAAAUCUGAUCAAAAUAUAUUCAGUUUUAAUAUCCAUUCUAUAAUUUUUACAAAAAAAAAAAAAAGAAAUCCACGCACAAAAUAUUGUUUUUGUCAAAGUUUAUUCAUCCAUCACGCUUAUAAUAAGUGUUAUCUUUAAAACAUUCUUAAUUAACCGUACUGUUUGUGUUCCUAAACCAUGCUUAAUUAUUUUAUCACAACCUUCGUUAAUAGAUUGUUUCAAAGUUAUUUUUUUACAAAGAAUAAAGGACCUACAUAUCUGAAUGAAAUAAUUACUUUGCGUAGACUAAUAUACAUUCGUAUUUGACCUGCUUUUUUUGUUAAUCUUUUUUCUUUGUUUUCGUUAAAGUCAGUUUUUAGUUUUCAGUCCCUAAUUAAUAACCACUCUCUCUCUCUCUCUUGCUGCACCCAAAGAAAAUCUCUCGUAGCAAAAAAAAAAAAAACUCUUUUCUUUCUAUCUCUCUCUCUCUCUCCCCAUCCCAUCACAAUCUCCAUCUCCAUCUCCAUCUUCAUCUCCAUCUCUGUCUCUUGUAUAAAGAUAAAUCCCACAAGUCUUAAAACUAUUCUCUUCUCUCUCUCUCUCUCUCUUCACCAUGACUGAUCCUUAUUCCAAUUUCUUCACAGACUGGUUCAAGUCCAAUCCUUUUCACCAUUACCCUAGUUCCUCCUCUAACCCUUCUCCUAGUAACCUUCCUCCUCCUUCUCUUCCCACUCCCUCUUCCUUCUUCUUCUUCCCUCAAUCCGGCGACCUCCGUCGUCCACCACCGCUACCAACCCCUCCUCCUUCUCCUCCUCUCCGUGAAGCCCUCCCUCUCCUAAGUCUCAGCCCCGCCAACAAACAACAAGACCACCAUCACAGCCAUGACCAUCAAAAUCAAGAACCACCUUCCACCUCCAUGGAUGUCGACUACGACCAUCAAGAUGAUCAUAACCUCGAUGACGAUGACCAUGACGUCACCGUCGCUCUUCACAUAGGCCUUCCAAGCCCUAGUGCUCAAGAGAUGGCCUCUUUGCUCAUGAUGUCUUCCUCUUCGUCUUCCUCGAGGACCACCCUUCAUCAUGACGAUUUGAAUCACAAGAAAGAUCUCGACCAUGAUUACAGCCACGGCGCCGCCGAAGGAGGAGAAGAUGACGAUGAAGAUUUAGUCGGCGGAGACGGCGGCUGUAGAAUCAGCAGACUCAACAAGGGUCAAUAUUGGAUCCCUACACCUUCUCAGAUUCUCAUUGGUCCUACUCAGUUCUCAUGUCCUGUUUGCUUCAAAACCUUCAAUAGAUACAACAACAUGCAGGUUCUUUACUAAUCAUACUCUCCUUACUCUAAAUCUCUUACAUAUCUCUGUCUCUGUGCGCAUAACUUCUUUCAAGAAUUUCGUUUUCUUUUCCAUGAAAAUCGACUUUUAUUUUCUGAGUAAACCCAAAAGGUAAAAACCAAAGCAAAUAUGUUUGUUCACUGAAUUUCCUCGAAAAAUACAAAAAACGUUCUCACCUUUAAUCGGUAAAUAUAUAUAUAUAUAUAUAUAUAUAACAUACUGUUUUCAAAUCAAUCAAUGGACGUGUCUUUGCUCACUGAUGCAUGAAUAAAUCAUUGCAUUACAAAGAACCGAGAGACUUGAGACUGUGAAGACUGGGACUGAGAUUUAACAAGACAGUAAAUGUUCUUUAUGUCUUUAGUACUUUCAAGUCUCUGUGGUUUUGCUGCUUUUCUCUACAAUAUUGGCAAGUGUGUCAUCCUUCUUUUGUAUGAGGGUCUUUAAAUGCCUAACGUGUAAAAUAACAGUAGUCAUACAAUUUCUCAUACCUAUAUAUUCAAAAUUAAUAUACAUAGAUAUAUAUACAUGUAUGGCUUUUCAUAUAUAUAUAUAUACUCGGUAAAUGAGCUUCAUAAGAUUUUGUAUUGAACGUACUCAACAUCUUGUUUUCUAGUUUACUACUAGGCUUUGAUUAAUUUGUUUACCGUACCUACGCAUGCAUUGACAUAUCUUAUUAUUAUUUUAUUUUCUUUUUUUGUUCAAGAAUUUAGUUUCUAUGAUUUUAAUUACAUUUCAGCAUUUACUUAACAUCUUGUUGAAUGAAUAUUUGUUGUCUUUUUACAUAUGCUUCAAGGUUGAUAUAUAUGGGUAAUUAAUAUCAAUGGAGAUAAAUAUAUAAGCUAGUUAGAGUAAUCAUCAUAACAUUGAUCUUCUAGUUAAUAUAUGUUAAUUUGCUGGCUAAUUAUAUAAGGUAAUCAUUACAAAGUAUCGAAGACACAUGUAACUAAAAUGGCUAACAGACAUAUCCUAAGCUAAAGUUUCAAGACGCACACUUUAUGAAUUUUCGAAAAUAUACUACUAUAAGUUAUUAAAACCCUACUUGAGUACAUGAUCAUAUAUACUUGCAUGAUUUUGUUUACAGAUGCAUAUGUGGGGACACGGAUCACAAUACAGAAAGGGACCAGAAUCUCUAAGGGGAACUCAGCCAACAGGAAUGCUAAGGCUUCCAUGCUAUUGCUGUGCACCAGGCUGUCGCAACAAUAUUGACCAUCCAAGGGCAAAGCCUCUCAAAGACUUCAGAACACUUCAAACACAUUAUAAGAGGAAACAUGGGAUCAAACCUUUCAUGUGUAGGAAAUGCGGAAAAGCUUUUGCGGUCCGAGGGGACUGGAGAACACAUGAGAAGAAUUGUGGUAAGCUUUGGUAUUGCAUCUGCGGAUCAGAUUUCAAGCACAAGAGAUCUCUCAAAGAUCACAUCAAGGCUUUUGGUAAUGGCCAUGGAGCGUAUGGCAUUGAUGGGUUUGAUGAAGAAGAUGAGCCUGCCUCUGAGGUAGAACAGUUAGACAAUGAUCAUGAGUCAAUGCAGUCCAAAUAGCUUAUAUAAUUUAGUAUAAGUACUUAGUAAUUCGGUAUAUAUAUUAAUUAUAAGAAUCCUAAAUCUAUGGACCAAGUUUUGAUGGAGGUAGAGCUUUUCAAAGUAAAAGCUAUACCAUCUAAUUGAUCAUAGAAAAAAACGAAUCAAGAUCACUUGGAAAUUUUUAAAUUGUAUCUCUAGCUUUCUAGUCAAAUUUAUUACAAGGCAAUGUAGCAGUCUCUAACUUAUGAGGUUUCAACGGUUUCUAUUUGUAUAAUUUAUUUUUUUCAUUAAUUAGUUUUGCCUUUCGUUGUGAAAAAAAAAAAUUAUAAUAAACGUUUGAUUUAUACUUGUUAGGAUAUAUAGUAAAAGACUAGAAAAGUAGAUGCUACAUCCAUGCAUGCAUUAUGUUAAAAAAUUCUCUACAUAUGUACCAUAUUCUAGAUCGAAAUGAAUAUUUCUAAAUUUAAUUAAUUUGAGUAAUUAAUGAUAGAUUCUAGUUUUUUGAUUCCCAAAAGAUAUUAGUUUUCUGGUGGAGUUAUCUUUGAAUUUAUUGUAUAAGAAUACCUAUGAUACUUAAUUGUCUAGUGACAUCAUGGAGAAUAAUGAGAGAAUGGACACUAGAGAAUAUUACUACUCAAGUGCAGACCUUUAUUAAGAAGAUCAAAUACCAAUUUAUACAUUAUCUUUCUUUGAUAGUUGGUUGUUUUGAAAAUAAUGUGAUGAUGCUACUACGUACGUAUACCAUAUGUUUUGAGCAUAUAUAAUGCAUAAAGUUUAUACAUGUAUAUGUAAUUAACAGAGUACUUACAAGUAGCUACGUACCAUGAAAAAUAAAAUGUUUAAAAUAAAUGACUAAUUUUCCCCUAUGAAACUGCUAUUUUGUAUAAUAUUCUAAGCUAUUUUACAAAAAUACAUACUCAAGUUUGAAUACAUAAACGCAUAAAGAAACGUAAUAUAUAUAUAUAUGUAUAUAUAUACUUAAUUUGUUCAUUAAUUUUUGUUUGGAUUUUUCUCAAAAAAUUGCCUUAUAUUAUUCUUUCGAAUUAAUAAUCACCAAAGGAAUAUUGCAUUUGUUAUUAACGUGCAUGCAGCUUAUUAAUUAGCUAGCGGUUUCUUGAUCUUACUAUAUAUAAAAGUUAAUCGGACAACAAGUGAUUGUCUUAUAAUUCUAGUUACAGUUUUAGUUGUGUGUCAGUUUGUUGGUAAUGUAGAAUUCAAGAUCCAAUUCGGAUAUGAUUGUAUAACUAAGAUUACAGUUAAAGAGAGGCUUUUAUCUUCCUGCAAAGAGAUCUUUUCAAUAUGCUCCUUUUUUUUUUUCUUUUUUUCUCUUCUCCUUUUUGGGUUAGUGGACAGACAUAUUUGCUCGAUGAAGGAACAUUACACCUUUUUAUCUAUAUAUGAUUCACUUUUAAAAAUCCCAUCUUAAAAUUCGAAACCAAAUGAUGAUCAUCUCUCGACUCAGGCAUAUACACACACAGAGAUUGACCUAAUUUUCGUUUUAUGUAUAAAGGUAUGCAUAAACAGUGAAUAUUCCUUCAGGUCCUGUAAUUUCAUACGUAUGCAUGCAGUCAUGUACACGUGUAUGUAUGUGUACAUGAAUAUGAUGAUCAAUGGGUGAAGAAGGAGCACAAAGUAAUGUGAAGGAGAGUGAUAAAAAAACAAAAGAGAAGAGAGAGUGGAGCCCUAAGGGUGUGAUGGGUUGGGCAGAUUUGGGAGCAAAGAUUGAUGGUAUCAACAGUUCUCUUUUUUUAUUGCUCUCUCUCUCUCUCUCUCUCUCUCACUGUUAUUUGAUUUGACAUCUCAUUUUCUUUCCUUUUCCUUUGACCAUCUCUCUAUCGUUCUCUCUCUACACACACACUCUCACACAAAUGACCCAACUUUCAUCAUCUCCUCCAAUCAAAACCCACAUGCUUGCCCUCUUUUGUAUUCAUUUCAUUAUAUCCAAGGUUACACUUGCACAUAUUUUUUGGUGUAUAAUUGAUCACCCUAAUAUUUUACCUUAGUUUAAUUUGAUACAUAAACCAAGUAAGUUAUAUAACCUAUUUUCGUUCUAAUUUUUUUUUUUAAUUCUGGUUAUUUGUUAAGGAUAAAAUUUUUUGCAUCAAAUGCAUGAAAUGAAUAUGGUGAUGCACGAAGAAAAUUCAAGUUUAUGGAUUGUUUGUUUUUUUUUCUUUUCUUACAUUGGUCGUCACAAGCUGAAAUUAAAACAGUAGAAAAACUGGAAAAGCUAAGAACGAACAUCUUUAAAAAUUGAUGUAGGAUUCAGACAACAUUUAUUGCCAAUCAAUAUCCUACCCCUUUGUUGGGAGAAAUAGACCAUCCAUACCUCUCUUCCUUUGACCCCCUCUCCCUCUCAUCUUAUCUUCCCAACACUUCUCCAGAAAUUUCUACCGCUAUAUAGAUUUAUUUGUUGGUAUAUAAAUAAACAUUACUCCAGUACUUAUUAAGUGUGCAUGCAUGGUUCCUAGCUAUUGAAUGUUAGAUCAUCUUUUAUAUAUACGUACGCGGUAAAAAUGCAAGUGAUGCGUUGACGACAGAUGAUAACAUAUAUAUGUACGUAGCAAAAGUUUUCACUAUUCGUGUAAACUAACUCUUUUUAUUAUAUACGUACGAUAGAAAACUUAUAGAUAAACUUUUGUCACUUUAUAUUUUUUUUGGAGUCUAUAUCUAUUAUAGCUUUAUAUAUGAUUAAGCUAUAAAACAAGUCCAACAGUUUUUAAAUCACUUUUACAAAGUUAAAUUAAAAAGUGGUUAAAAGCAAGAACCACAACUUUUGUUUUUGAUAUGAUAUUAUAAAUGAUUCAUAGAUUUGAUGAACAUAGUAAGACUUUGAAUUCUAAUUUUGCAUCUUAAUUAUGAACAUAUAUUUCUAUCUAAAACUCUCAUUUAUUUAGAAAUUAUGUCUCCAGUUAAAGGUCUAUAAAACACAUGCUUACAGUACUCCGAUUAAAAUAAAUAUAGAUCGCAAACAACAGAAACAUAAAAGGUAAAUGAAAAAUUAUUGAUUAUGUAUACUGUAUUAGUUAAAAAGUUUUUCGAAUCUCGAAACUGAAUUGUUCUCUGUGAGUGUGCAUUUAUCUAAGAAGACAUUUUCAAAAUCCGAGCAAUAUAUAUUUGAUUUUUUUAUACUGUGUUGCCGGAAAGAAUCCGAACAUUGGACUUCUUCACUUUGUUCCGUAAUUAUGCUGUUAUAUUACCUAUUACAUUUAUAAAACCUAAGUUUAUACAUUGGUUGUUUAACGUAGACAAAAUUUUCUUGUCUGACAAAAAACUUAAAUGAAAAAGGCCUUAAUUCCUGCUUUUUUAAAAUCCCGAAGCUAUAUUCUACUAAAUCCGUUAAACGAAAUUUUAAUUACUUUACACUUUCCUAUGUUCAUGUCGAGAAAUGCAAAAAUGUGUAAGUGAAAUUGGGAACUACUGUUCAUAUUCCAAGGCUGAUCUGAAGGAGACAGCUUUGUCUGCCGUGGCUCAAAUCUCCAUCUCCUACAUUUAAUUUAAUAUAAUGGACACACACGUACGUACACUGUAUAUAUAUAUAUAUAUAUAUAUCUCUUUUAUACAUUAUGGAAGAAAAAUCUUCUUUUGACGUAUUCGUUUUGUCUAUACAUACAUAAUCGUUAUAAAUGAAAGAAAAAUAUACAUUUCGAAUUAGUAUUAACUAUUAAAUAUCAUCACAUAAAGAAGAUUAAUGUAGCUAUCUAUGAUUUUCGACAACUUUGUUUGAAGGAGGCCCCAACAUGCAAAAAAGAUAAAGGGAGAAAGAGGCCAAAUUGAGCUUGACUCAUGAUUAAUCACGGGUACCUCAAAAGAGCAUAUAAUAAAAAAAUGAAAAAAAAUUAAAUUUCAUAUAUAUUUUCAAAAGCAUAAUUGUAUAUAUUAAAAAACAUUUAUAUAUGGACGUAAGAAAACAACAUAUGUAUAUAUAUAUAUAUACACACAUAAUUAUUAUCUUUAUUUAAAUUAGUAUGAUACAAUAUUUCUCUAUUAGACACUAGUAAGAAAAAUGACGACAUAUAAGAGGGCAGUAUCUAUCUUUAUUAGACAUCAUACAUAUAUUAGGGUAUAUAUUUAAUCCAAUUCUUAAACACCAAAAAAGAAGAGAAGAGAGUUUAUUGAGAAUCAAACCACUGUCAAACUCUCGAGCUCUGUAUAUAAUAUAAUUUUGUUCAUAUAUGAAUUACUAAAAUAUAUAUAUUUUUUUCCUAUGAAUUUAUUUAAAGAUUGUUUUAGUCGUAACUGUUUUUGUAAUCUGAUCACAAAUGCAUAAAAUUAAAGUUAAAUUGUAUAUGUGUAAUUAAAUAAAUUAAUUCAGACCUUUUAAUUUCUGGAUUUUAAUGUAACAAUUACAAGUAGAACCAGCUUGAGAAAACUUAUUAAUAUCCAGCUAGCUGUUCUGCGUGCAUUAUUAGCGAUCGAACGAGUGAUACUAUGAACAAUAUAAUAUAAAUCUUAUAUAAACAAAAGAAUAUAUGAUCCAAUUAGCGAAGUAAUAUAUAUAUAUAUAUAUAUAUUAUGGUAAAAAAUCUUAAAACACUUUUUCUUUCUUUCUUGUGAUACAAAUAAUAAUAGAUAUAUCUUAAUUAGAAGAGAGAUGAGUGAGCUAGAGAGGUAUUCGUUAGCUCGUGAUGAUUGUCCGAGCGUGUUCUUUUGUCCAUAUUCUUUAUUUGAUCAACUUUAUUUUGUUUUUGCUACUCCUGUUAAAGCUUAUUUGAUCAUCAUGCCUCUCGUAGAUUCUCCAAGUUGUAUGUUGUGUUGGGUUUCUUUCACCAGCGAAUAUUAUCUCAAGGAAAUAUAAAAUUAAAUAAAAUGAAAAACACUUUUUCCUGUCAAGUUUCAUUUUCUAGUAAUAUUAUCAAAUCUUUAUAUAUAUACACUAAUGAAUUUGAAACAUCAUUAUUGAAGGGGGUCUUCGAAAACUAAGUUUUUAUACACAUACAUAUAUAUAUAUAUAUAUAUAAUAUGAUAAUAGUGAAAUGAUAGUUCAUUCAUAUUAUCUGUAUGGUCACGAGUGUGACGCUUUUUAUUCAACGUUUUCAUGCAUAUAUAUGAAUCAUCUAUGACGUACGCACGUAUGGAUUUAUGUAUAUGUGUGUGUGUGUGUGUGAAGUGAAGCACUGAAGCUAGAGCGUGAGAUUAUCACAGAAGGGAGGGGGCAGAGAUGAUAUCAGGAGAAAGAAGUAAUAGAAACAAAAAAGGUGGUACGAUCGAAAAUCAAAUCUGGUUUUUUUUUUUCCUUUCGAUUAGAGAAGAAAAAUAUAUAUAAAUAUGAUUGGACAUGGCAUCGACUUUUUUUUUUUUUUUUUUUUUUUUUUUUUUUUUUGUCUUUCCAAUUACUUUGAGGAGAGAUUCUAUUUUGAGGUUAACAUAACUCCAAAGAAAAUACCCACACUCACUCUUUUCCCCCAAGUUUUACCCAUCAAACCUUUCCUACAUUAAUUACCCCUAAAAGUGUAUGAUGAUCAUCUAUAUACAUCCCUGUAUAGUUGUUUUUAACCUCAAUAUUAACAAAUUUACUUGGUUUACUUUGAUAUUAAUUGGAAGAUGACCAUCAAUAUCAUCAAGUGGUAUAUAUGAUUGGUCAACUAUAUAUAUAUAUAUAUAUAUAUAUAUAUAUAUAUAUAAGUUUUGUUUACAUUAUAAUAGUUUUAGUAUGUUACUUCCAUUUGCAAUAGUGACAAGAACAAAGAAAUGGACCACAUAACAUAAGUAAAUUGUCAGUGAAGGUAUUUUUUCAUUCAGGUACUCUUUUCUUUUAUGAACAGUAGACUUUGCAUAAGACCAGCUCUCUCUGCUAUCCUCUCUCACAUAAUUAUUUUUCCUAUAUAUAUAUAUUUUAAAGAAUUUUCUUUAUAUAUAUUUGUUUUUUGAAUCUUUUUAUUUUCAACCUUCUCUUUCUGUCUGCAACAAUGUGCUUUAAGUGAAAUGUGUCUUUAUCUCCUUUCCCAUACCUCCUUUGUUUUCUUUUUUGUGUUCAUUUACUUUUCAUAAAACUAACCAAAAUUUAAUAAAGAUGAAUUUCUUACUGUUCUUUUUAUAAAGAAAAGCUACGUACUCUUGAUUUUAUAUACUUUCUUUUCGUUAGGGGUAUAAUUCGCUUAUUUUCUCUAUGUAUAUUGUUUUUCGUUUUUUUUUUACGAAGAGUACUAUUUUAUAUAUAGAGAGACGACGACCCAAAGCAAAGGACCACAUCUGCGUGCAUCCUGGUUACUAGGUAAGUUCGUCUACAUAUACUGAGAUUAUUAACUUUCAGUUUGAUUGCUUUGAAAACUAUUUUUGUAUCAAUUUAAGGAUCUAUCUUUGUAAUCUAUUUGUUACGUUCUCAUCAUCAAUUCACAUGUAUAGAAAUCGUUGGAAAAAAAAGAUUCACAGCUAUCGAAAUUAAUUUUCGACCUAUCGAUGUAGAUGUAAUUCUCACACGCUUUAGGCCUUUAGCUAUCAUGAAAAAAGAGUUUCAUAUCUUACUUAGUUAUGAGCAAAUGUAUAUCUCUAGAUACGUGUGGUACUUUUAUAUAUCGGUAAUUAAAAUGAAAACCGUUGAUUAAUUAAGAUUUUUUGUCUCGGAACUCAUAACAAAAGGGUACGUACGUUCACGUUGGGACUAAUGUGAAAAGACAAAAUACGAGAGGGAUGGGGUUUUAUGAAUUAUGAGAGGAACCCCAUACUUUAUAUACUUACCUUCCAAAGGGGAAGCAAUCAAUUUGGAGUUGAAGUGUAUGUCCUUCUUCUAAACAUUCCCAUCUCUAAAGUCAAAAACCCUAAAUUUCAGUUCCCAAAUUUUUUUUGAUCGUUUUUUCCCGAUGCAUGCACAUGCAACUCUUUAAUUGAAUUGCAUUCACGUGUCAUGGUGGAUCGAUGGUGAUCAUCUAUGUAUGCCCGAAUAAAACAAGUUACUCAUAUUUGUGUAUUACCUUUUAUAGAAAUUAGUUCUCUUGAGCACACACGCUAACGCUAAAACUUGCAACAAAAAUUUGUAUGAGAUAUUGUGAAAAUUAUUCAAUCAUGUUCAUAAUUUUAUUUUUUUUCGUUUAUGUGGAGUUCGAAUUCAUAUCAUCAAUUAACGAGAUAGAGCUUUGACAACAUUCUGAGGUAUUUGUGAUUUUUGUAUCCAAAUCAAGAUUUGGAAUAUCAUCUAUCUAUUAGACUAUUAUCUAUAGCUAACGACGUCGAUGGUAUAUAUAAAGCCCAAAAGAUGAUUUGUCUUGUAAGUGAAAGCCAAAUCAAACAGAGUGUAACAAGAUCCCUUGUUUAAAAAUUGAAUGUCCCAGUCUGAGGCCCAAAUCGAAGCUCUACUGGGCCUUAUGCCUCGUUGUGUACAAGUCAAUAAUCAAGCCCAUAUUCAGAUAAAACAGAUUUUGACUCUCUCUCUCUCUUCUGGUCCAUCCACAGAUCAUCUCUGAAACAUCACUGACGUAACGUCAGUCACAACACGUGUAGCACAGAUCUUGAUUGAUUCCAGUUCUUCGCUUGGAUACGCAACACAGCAAAGCAACAAUAUCUCUAAAGCCACAGAGAUUCAAGUGGACCUACGUAAAGAAUCUUCCACAAUUUGGUUUAAUAACAGUCGUAAACUUCUUAAACACGUCAUUAGAUUAGCCGAUACAUAAGUACAUUUGUUGUCACUGGGUUAACUGAUUGAUUCAAGUUUCUUCUUCAGACUUAAAAAAAUGGAAAAAGCUGUAACACCAAAACUUGAUAUGCCUCUGUUACACUUCACGAAUUCUCGGAAACCCAAUUCGAUUCCGUCUCCGAUUCUUCGACUCUCGAGCUUCAAUCGUCACAAGAAACGUUCUUGUCUUGCAUCGUCUUCGCGUCCAGGGUUCGAAACAGAGACGAUGACUACUGAUUCGGAGAGCCAUGGUGCCAUAAUGGAAAAUAGUACCGUUGGAAGAAGAUUAAUCGGUUUAGCCGCCGCAGCUGCAGUAGCGGUUUCUUCGUGUUGCGAUUCUCCGGCACUAGCUGAGUCUCUGACUAUCGCUUUCCCUGUUUCACGUGCUCGUGAGGUGAUCGAGCUUUUUCAUUGAGCUCUGUUUCUCUGUUUUAAACGUCUCUGGGAAAUAAAGUUUGGAUUUUGAUGUUUUGUUUAAGGUUACUACAGUACAGAGAACUCUUGUGGAAGCUUGGGGUUUGAUUAGAGAAACGUUCGUUGAUCCUACUUUUAAUCAUCAGGGUAAAGUUCAGAUUUUGAUGAUUUUUUUUGUGGAUUUUGUAGAAUGUUCUCUUGUGGAAAGUGUUCUGAUUUUUGCAGAUUGGGAUUCUAAGCUGCAGCAGACAAUGGUGGAAAUGUUUCCUCUAAGAUCAGCUGAUGCUGCUUAUGGAAAGAUCAAAGCUAUGCUCUCUACCCUUGGUGAUCCUUUUACUCGACUCAUUAGCCCAAAGGUACCAGCAAAGUUUGAUUCUCAAUGAGUGUUGCAGGGCAUGAAUUGAAGUUGGUUCUACAUUAAGAUACUUCUUCUGACUUGCAGGAAUACCAAAGUUUCAGAAUUGGUAGCGAUGGAAAUUUCCAAGGUGUUGGCCUUUUCAUAAACUCAGAACCAAGAACCGGUCACCUGGUUAGUGCAGACCUCAAACACGUCUUGAGACCUAAUACGCUUGGUUUUUCAUUUUUCUUCAAUACUGAUUCAUUUUGUGAGCAUGAAGUAGAUAGAUCUUGUUUCAUGGUAGAGCCCAAUGUAGGUUGUUCUGUCUUGCAUAGAAGGUAGCCCGGCAUAUCGUGCUGGAAUACACCAAGGAGAGGAAUUGAUCGAGAUAAAUGGUACAAUGUUAUGUCCUAAUCCUACUAACUUUUUUUCUGUCUUUCUAGAAAUUGGCUGUAACUCUGUUUAUGGGAUUUCAGGUGAGAAAAUGGAUGGUAUUGAUAGUGAAGCAGCAGCACAGAAGCUGAGAGGCCGAGUUGGAACAUUUGUUACCAUAAAACUCAAAUGUGUACUAUUCUUUGUCUUCUCUAUUGAUUCCAUAUGCAUUCUCUUUGUCGAAAACCCUGUAUACUUGAGAUCAAACCAUCUAAGUUAUUGUCUCGUCUUGCAGGUGAAUGGAUCAGGGACAGGGUCUGGUAUCAGAGAGGUACAGUUACCGCUGUUUAUGUUAGAUUUGUUAGGUUACUUACUAAAUAAGUAUAUAUUGUAUAUGUAAAGGUCAAGGUACCCCGAGAUUACAUUAAGCUAUCACCAAUAUCCAGUACUAUAAUCCCACAUACAACACCUGAUGGACGUUCAGCAAAGACCGGUUAUGUCAAACUCACAGCAUUUUCUCAGGUUAAUCUUGUGAAAACCAAAAACAAAUGAAGAGGAGAAUUGCAAUAUAUAAGCUCAUUGUUUCAAUUCUUCCGACAGACAGCAGCAUCCGAUAUGAUAAAUGCGGUACAUGAGAUGGAGAAUCAGGAUGUUCAGUCAUACAUUCUGGACCUAAGAAACAAUCCGGUAAAUUUCAGGUUUUGGUUUUGACAACGAGUUUUCGGGUGUUUGUUCAUUUUCGACACUUAGCUUUUUGACAUUUCCAUUUCAGGGAGGUCUGGUUAAAGCUGGACUCGAUGUUGCACAGUUAUGGCUUGAUGGAGAUGAGACCCUUGUGUAUACAAUUGACCGAGAAGGGGUUACAUUACCUAUAAAUAUGAUUGAUGGACACGCUGUGACACAUGAUCCACUUGUCGUGCUUGUAAGUAUGUAGUAAUGUAUUUAUGUACACUUGUAAGUAUGAAUUAAUGUUAUAUACAAGUUGGCUAGGUGAAUAAUAGAUAGAUCCAAUGAAAUUUAGGUUAAUUCGGGUCGGAGAAUGUAUAAGCCUAAUGUUUCCGGUUAAGUUUGGUUUAUAAGUCCACUCCCAAUUAAUGUUUCGGUCAAAUAUUGGAAAGGUGAAUGAAGGAAGUGCGAGUGCAAGUGAGAUUUUGGCAGGUGCCUUACACGAUAACGGUCGAGCUAUACUUGUCGGUAACCGGACAUUUGGGAAAGGAAAAAUCCAGGUGCAUGCAUAAGUCAGCUUUAAACAAUUCAAAUAUACAAAUCUUGAACUUGUGAAAACAAAAUUAUGAUUGUAUGAUUGGCGAUUUUGCAAGAGCGUAACAGAGCUAAACGAUGGGUCGGCUUUGUUUGUGACGGUGGCUAAGUAUUUGUCUCCGUCUCUACACGAAAUUGAUCAAGUAGGGAUCUCACCUGAUGUACAGUGUACCUCGGAUAUGAUCGAUUCUUUGACCGGUGAGAUACUUGAGAAGACGAACAGUUCAAUUCCAAUGCUUGAAGCAGACUCAUGUGUUAUGGUCGCGGAGCACGAACUUGAGACUCGACAAUCCAAUGGAACAGCUUCUUGAGGGGGUUUCUCGUGAAUUAAUAUAGGAUAAGUUUAUGGCCGUGUAUAUAUUGAUAGUUCAAUGUAUGUGUAAAACUAUUUGGCACUUACUUGUGCCGUGAUAUUAAUUAAUACUGAAAUACAUCAGUAAAAGCGUAUUUAAACUCAACAAUUAUCGGACAAAGGAACUUUACAUCUUAUUCGUAUAUUCAAACUUUAAAAGUCCUAAAUGCUGAGAAAAACAAAAUAAAAUGUCUUGGAUGAGAAAAAAAUCUGAUUAUAAAAGGAUGGUGAAUUUCAUGAGAAGACCAAAUCAAACGCCGUUAACUCGGUUGGAAUACCGAAUACGCAGUGCUCCAGUUUCAGUGUGAGCGAUCGAUAUUUGUCUUUCCGACAUUAUCUUUUUGGUAGAUUUACUAGGGUCUAGGUACCUUAUAAUAAUAUUAAAUGAGCCAGCCCAAACAAACACUUUAAUCCCAUUUGGUAUUACCAUAAACGGGUCAAAAGGCACAAGACCAUUGAUUGUCCAAACACUACCUGCGUUUAGAACUUUAAAUUUCACACCAUGCUUUUUCUUUUUGGUCAAAAUAUGAGCUAAUUUCUGUUUUAAACUUUGAAUUACAAACCAAACCAAUGGUUUGAUUUCUUUGUUUAUAAUUGUAGUUUUACCACGAAUAUUCUUCGAAUUAGCCAACGAGUGAUGACUUAUAAUAUACACGUUGUUUGGUUUAUUUGGGCUUGUAAUAGCUUUUUGUACCCUCUUUGUGGGGAAUAACUCUUCUGUUAAUUUGAAUGAAGUACUAGUUUGUCCAAAAAAAUAAUUAAAAUACAUGUAUGCGGAAAAAAAAAUUAAAAUUUUAUUUUUCUACAUCGAAAUUGAAACUCAUGCAUGGAGUCAUGUUAUAAUGUAACAAGAAUACAGAUGACCGAAAAGAAUGUAACAAGAAUACAGAAACAGCAAUGCUAAAAUCAAGCUAAGCCACAUAUUGCAAGUCUUUUCACCGUAAUUAUAGUUAUAAUUAGUUAAAUUUUGACCACCUUAAAACUUCUGUUAUUUUUAGUAAAGAAUUUGUUUUUUUUCUCUAAAAAUAACACAAGUUCCACACAUAUAAAUUGGCCAUGAACACCAUCCAUAUUCCUCAGACCUGCAAGAACUUGAAAAAAAAAAGAAACAAAAAAAAAAACACUAAAUAAAAAAAGAAGAAAAGAAAAAGCCUUUCAGGUCUCAACAAUGGAGAUGAAGAAGAUUGCUUGCGGUGUGCUUUUCGCUGCUGCCUCUAUGACCGCCGUCAUGGCUGCUGAGGAAGCCGGAGCUCCGGCACCAGGACCCGCUACAGCUGCCGCCUCGGCUGCUUUGCCAGCUCUUGGCUCUUUGGUUGGGGCUUCCCUUGUGUCCCUCUUCAGCUACUACUUGCACUAAGCUAAUCUUUCAUUAUUCUGUAAUAAUUAAAAAAAAAAAGACACUAAUUAUGUGAUCUUGUUCAUUUCCUCCCUACCUAUUUCCAUUUCACUUGUUUAUUAAUAAAACUGAGAAAGUGAUUUCUUGAAUAAACGAACUUUCUCUGAUAGUGUAUUGAUUUCAAAUCUGGGUUUAGCCCCUCCUGAUGGGAAGAUUAGACAAAUACUAGAAGUUGACUAUAGUGAAGAUUAUAAAAAAAAAUUGUCAGCAAAUAUAUAUUAUAUGCAAAUAUAUAUAUAUUAUAAAAAAAAUUGAUAUUGUUAAUUUUGGAAGGUUAAUAUAUAAAAGGAAUGUA
rnacentral:lncRNA from 1 species